rnacentral:lncRNA from 13 species
GAGUGAGAAGGAUAAAUGGUUUGAGGAAAAUGAAUCGAACAGACUAAGCGAAACCUAUUCUCAUGGUAAGAAGGGUAAGAUAAGGAAAGGGAGAGAAAUUAAUUCUUCCAAUUUAUUAGUAAUCUGGAAGUGGCUGAAUGGUGCUGAACUACUGCUCAUGGUUAUAAUGUAGCAUGGGAGACACCUACUGGUCAGAGUUAGCUUUACAUCCAAACACAUAGGAACUCUGCUUUUAUUUGUUAUUUCAUUUUUAUUUAACCUUUAUUUGCCUAGUCAAGUCAGUUAAGAACAAAUUCUUAUUUACAAUAACGGCCUACCCCGGCCAAACCCUAACGACACUAGCCAAUUGGGAUUCCCGAUCACGGCAGGGUAGCCUAGUGGUUAGAGCGUUGGACUAGUAACAGGAAGGUUGCAAGUUCAAACCCCCGAGCUGACAAGGUACAAAUCUGUCGUUCUGCCCCUGAACAGGCACUGUUCGUUCCUAGGCCGUCAUUGAAAAUAAGAAUUUGUUCUUAACUGACUUGCCUAGUUAAAUAAAGGUAAAAUAAAAUAAAAAAUGAUAUAGCCUAGAAUUGAACCAGGGUCUGUAGUGACACCUCUAGCACAGAGAUGCAGUGCCACUCAGGAGCAGGCAAGAGCAAUCUUUUAGUGGGAUGUAACUGAACAAGUUUAUCUGCUCUCCCAUAAAAUUGAUCAACAGUAAACAGUAGCCAUGCAGUAUGUCUCUACAUUAGUUAUUCAUUACACAGCUUAUUGCCAAUCUUUAACUAACCCGUACAUGAGCUCAUGCUUAUGUUCUUGCAAGAAUUCAUGCAGAAUAUGUAUUCCCAUUGUGCUACAGAUUUACAUUGGGCUUUGCCCUGUUUCCUAUGUCUUCAGAUCUGUCCAGUUACAUUCCCAGGCACACUGUGGAUUUUAACACCUGGCAGGAACAUAAGCUUGAUGACCCUGUUUACCAGGGGGCCACCAAUUCCCAGCACGCACAGAUGUCAGAGGAAGUUAUGCUCACCCCAGCAGAUAGCUCCUCUCUGUCAGACUUCAACAGUGAACCUGCGCUGUACUUCUGAUUUGCCUGGACCAAACAGGACUGACCACUGCCCUCCAGUACCAGAACCAGCAGCCGUAACCACAACCCCCACCUGGGACCAGUGA